rnacentral:lncRNA from 1 species
GGGAGGUUGCUUCAACCAGCUUGUUGAGGUAGAGAAUCUUGAAUCGACUUAUCAAAUAAGUCGUGAUGUCUUUUUAAUUCUUGUUUUUAUUUUUCAGUUACCUGGAUAAGCUUUCAAUAUGUUGAUUGUGAUUUCAGUAGGGAGAGUUUGAUUUAGGUAAUUGAGUUUUUGCUGCUAGGUAUAAUGGGUUGAAGAUCAAAUGUGUUUUUUAUCCUGGAGCUCCCCG